AAAGAAAACUAAACUAAAACUAAUACUAAUAAAAGAAUUAAAACUAAGCUAAUAACACCUAAGAAAUUUGCCUCCCCUAAAAAGCUACGUACUCCACCUUUUAUAAGGAUUUAAGAAUCUUAUCUUAAUUAUAAGCUUAGGAAAAACUAAUCCUAACCAAAAUAAAACUCUUAACAAAACCCAAAGGAGCUAAAUAAAAAGCUGCGGAAAAUUUAAUUGGUAUACACUAGACCCUAGUGUAGGUAGGGAUACCUACACCCCCCUCUAAAUGAUGCGUUUAUCAUGUUACCCACAUCCCAUAACCCACUAACCUACUGUAACUACCCACCAUUCUCUCUAAAACCUUCUUCUUCAUUUCUCUAGACUUUCUCUCUCAUCAAAACCAGAAAAUAUGAACCAAAAUUGCUUCAAAAUACUACGAAAUUGCUUCAAAAUACUACGAAAUUGCUUCAAAAUAUUGCUAAAUUCCUUCAAAUGUCUACAUUUGCGAAGAAAUUCAACAAUCGCAACAACAUUCACAGAAAGAAACCGAAAAAUAUAUUUCGAAUUAGAGAGAUAAAGAGAAUGAGGAUUCAGAGAAGAAUCCUGUUCGUUGAACAUAACAAGGCAUAGUCUGAAGAAACGUGAACCAAAUUAGGAAGCAAGGAUGCGGAACUGAUGUUAUUUGAAGAAAAACACUAAAUAUAGGUUAAAUAGAAGAUAAGCAAGGAAGUUUGCAAAUGAAUAGUACAUGUUAUAUGUUCAUUUAUGAAAGUGUAUAUGUUCAUUAAUGAAUGUGUAUAUGAUCAUAUCUUAUACUUCC